GGUUAGCUCAGUGGUAGAGUGCUUGCCUAGCAUGCAUGAGGCCCUGGGUUGAAUCCCUAGCACCA
rnacentral:tRNA from 1 species